UGGUUCUCGCAUCGAUGAAGAACGCAGCGAAAUGCGAUAAGUAAUGUGAAUUGCAGAGUCCAGUGAAUCAUCGAAUCUUUGAACGCACAUUGCGCCCCCUGGUACUCCGGAGGGCAUGCCUGUCUGAGAGUCAUCGCACACCAACUCGGGCCCAGUUGCCCGGUCCUGGGGACAGUCGGCCGCUCCGGUCGGCGUCCCCGAAAGCCAGCGGACCGAAGUCCGACGGGAUCACAAGCAGCUCGCUCUGAAUUGGGUCGCACCUCCACGUGGGGCUGCCCCGAAGCGUCCUGCGAACCCGUUGACGUGUCCGACCCCGCACCCUGGGGACCACACCAAGGCUUGACCUCAGAUCAGGUAGGGAUACCCGCUGA
rnacentral:misc_RNA from 1 species